AACACAUGCAAGUCGAGCGGAGCUCAAAUGCGGAUCCCCUUCGGGGGUGAAACAUCUGAGCUUAGCGGCGGACGGGUGCGUAACGCGUGGGUAAUCUGCCCUUGUCACCGGGAUAACACAUCGAAAGGUGUGCUAAUACCGGAUGAAAUACAGACCUGGCAUCGGGACUGUAUCAAAGUCAUGCGGACAAGGAUGAGCCUGCGUCCCAUUAGAUAGAUGGCGGGGUAACGGCCCACCAUGUCAGCGAUGGGUAGCCGAGCUGAGAGGCUGAUCGACCACACUGGAACUGAGACACGGUCCAGACUCCUACGGGAGGCAGCAGUGGGGAAUAUUGGGCAAUGGGCGAAAGCCUGACCCAGCAACGCCGCGUGAGGGAAGAAGGCCUUCGGGUUGUAAACCUCUGUCCUUGGUGACGAAAAAAAUGACGGUAGCCAAGGAGGAAGCCCCGGCUAACUACGUGCCAGCCGCCGCAGUAA
rnacentral:rRNA from 1 species